rnacentral:sRNA from 1 species
GUCCAUGUUGCGGCGGACCAGAGCCAGAAGCACGCGAGGGUGAUGGCCGCAGCGGGCCAGUAUCGCGAUGUCAUAAUAGAAAGGCCUGCGGC